CAGCAGCCGCGGGAAUACAGAGGGUGCAAGCGUUAAUCGGAAUUACUGGGCGUAAAGCGCGCGUAGGUGGUUCGCCAAGUUGGAUGUGAAAUCCCCGGGCUCAACCUGGGAAUUGCAGUGGAUACUGGGUCACUAGAGUGUGGUAGAGGAUAGUGGAAUUUCCGGUGUAGCAGUGAAAUGCGUAGAGAUCGGAAGGAACAUCUGUGGCGAAGGCGACUAUCUGGGCCAACACUGACACUGAGGCACGAAAGCGUGGGGAGCAAACAGGAUUAGAUACCCCAGUAGUCCCUGUCUCUUAUAC
rnacentral:rRNA from 1 species